rnacentral:RNase_P_RNA from 1 species
CCAGACGGUCGGACGGUCGCUGUCGCGUGGUUCUGCCAUGUGAUGGAGGAAAGUCCGGGCUCCACGGAAAAACGGUGCCGGCUAACGGCCGGCGGGGGCGACCCCAGGGACAGUGCCACAGAAAACAGACCGCCCUCACGGCGGUGUCCGUAGCAAUACGGGCAGUGUUGGGGGCAAGGGUGAAACGGUGCGGUAAGAGCGCACCGCAUCCAUGGUAACAUGGAUGGCAGGGUAAACCCCACCGGGAGCAAGACCGAAUAGGAACGGCGGAUGGGCCGCAAGGCGCCAUCGGGGGUUUUCCGCCCUGUCGUUCGGGUUGGUCGCGCAAGGUGUGUCGCAAGACUCAUCGCAGAGGAAUGACCGUCCCGCCCCUUCCGGGGCGGACAGAACCCGGCUUACAGACCGUCUGGUAUU